rnacentral:rRNA from 1 species
AUUGAACGCUGGCGGCAGGCUUAACACAUGCAAGUCGAGCAGGCGGCGGACGGGUGAGUAAUGUAUGGGAAACUGCCUGAUGGAGGGGGAUAACUACGGGAAACGGUAGAUAAUACCGCAUACCAUCAGAUGUGCCCAGAUGGGAUUAGCGAGUGGGUGGGGUAAUGGCUUCCCUAGUCGCAGAUACUUAGCUGGGCUGCGAGGAUGACCAGCCACAUUGGAACUGAGACACGGUCCAGACUCCUACGGCAGGCAGCAGUGGGGAAUAUUGCACAAUGGGCGCAAGCCUGAUGCAGCCAUGCCGCGUGUGUGAAGAAGGCCUGCGGGUUGUAAAGCACUUUCAGCGAGGAGGCGUUACUCGCAGAAGAAGCACCGGCUAACUCCGUGCCAGCAGCCGCGGUAAUUC